rnacentral:rRNA from 1 species
GACGAAGCCGUGCGAACGUUAUUCGGAAUCACUGGGCUUAAAGGGCGCGUAGGCGGGCUCGUAAGUCAGGGGUGAAAUCCCACGGCCCAACCGUGGAAGUGCCUCUGAUACUGCGGGCCUCGAGGGGGGAUAGGGGCGUGCGGAACUCAGGGUGGAGCGGUGAAAAUGCGUAGAUAUCCUGAGGAACACCGGUGGCGAAAGCGGCGCGCUGGAUCCCUUCUGACGCUGAGGCGCGAAAGCCAGGGGAGCAAACGGGG